GGCCUCUCGCUAACAGUGGGACACUGGAGUGGACUUAACCCGCAGCUGGGGUCAGCAGGGAUGAGCCCCUCUCCUUGCUGCAGGGCUGCUGCCUUGCAUGGGAGGAGAAGGGGCUGCAGGGGGUGGUGGCACAGCUUGUCCUGCUCUAUGGAUCAUUGCCAUGCUGAAGGUGCUGCUGGAUCCUUGCCCUUCUUCCUGUGCCUCUUUGCAGGCCACUUCCCUUUGCGUAUCCUCCAAAUAGAGGGAGAUUUCUCUUGAUUCCUGGGGUGCUGUGCGUGCAGGCUGGCUCCUGGAGCAGCCAUGGUCACCCUGUGGAUGUGGCAGCUCUGAAAUCCAGGACCUGGAGAGCAGAGCUCCUGAAGGAUGCUGUGUUUGAGUCUGGGCUGCUGAACUGUUUGGCUUUUGAGGUUGCUGAGCUGAGAUGCCUGUAGGAGCCCAGUGUGGGGCUGGGCACAGACCUAUACGUGGCUGCUUCUCACGAGCAGCAGUCUCCCUUGGUGUGCCCCAAGCGUGCCAUUGGCCUGAGCAAGCUGCUGUUGACUCGCCGUGGGAAGGUACAACUUCAACCUCUUGCACAUGAGAUAAAGCAUGGGGACAUUCCAGGUGAGAGCACUGGAGUCCAUCUCUGCCCAGGUGUGCUCGGAAGCCAGGAACAUGCUUUGGGAGGGCAGGACAUGAGGAUGCCUCAAUCCUGCACCUGGCCUUCGUUGUCACUGCUGUUUCGUCACACGCCAACACGCCCUGUCUCUUCCUUGUCACUCUUUUCUUCCCUCUUUCACCACGACGUCUUAUCUCCAUUAAAUCUUCUUAUUUUAUUACACCAGGGUGGAUUUUGUUUGCAGCCUAGGCAGCUGUCCACAGCCCACAGGGAUUGCAGAGACCUUGGUAAAGCCAUAGGGUGCAGGGGUGGCACUCCCCUAGGCCCACCUCUGCAUUUCCAGGUGCCUGCUAGGAGCUAGAGCUGCCUCCUGUGGAGAAAUUCAAGGCAUGUCUGGAAAGAUGUGACAGCAUGUCUACAGAGGUGUAAAAACAAAUAUAUUCCAGGCAUCCGAGUUAGAAAAUAAUGAAGAAGGUGUGUGGUUUUGACUGUAGUGGAGCUGGGAGCAUCCCUGAGCGCUGCAGGGUGCAGAGCAAUGCUGCUGGGACAGCUGGGUCACAGCCCUUCCUGCUGGUUUGAUGAGGGCUGACCACAGGUCUGCACGAGGUCAUCUCUUCUCCAGCUUUGAGGCGAUUCUCACUGCCCCUUGUCUGUUCCAUGCAGUUGCAGCAGAGGCACAACCCCAGGGCUGCUCCAGCACACCCCACCCAGCCAUGAGUCAUAGGAUCCAGGCACUGCAGCUGGGCACAGCCUCAUUUCCCACACCUGAUCUCCGUUUCCUUCCCUGAUCCAUUAUCUCCACAUCUGUAUUCAACAAGCAAAGCCACAGGAGGAGCAGGCACAGUGCUGAGCCUGUGUGUGGGGCAGGUGGGUACCCGGAAGCCCAUUGAGCAGCACUGCUGCCUGUGACAAAAGCCACGUGCAGCGUCCCUGUGCCAAGCAGCCCAGCAGCCAACGCAGAUUUUGCUGCUCCAACCCUGCAGGGUUCUGCUGUGCAGGCCCUUCCUGCAGCCUGAGCUCAGGGCUCUGUGCUGACCAUGGUUACUGCAUCUGCAGGUGAAGGAGUUGUUACACAUCCAGCUCUUUAUCAAAAUUAAUAAUAAAACAUCAAACCUUGUGUCAUCCAUUUUGGAUACAAAAUAUUUAUUUGAAGGAGGAAGAAACAUUUUCAUACUUGGAGUGUGCUUGUCCCUGCCCUGAGGAGAAGGUUUGCUUGUGUCCUGCUCCUACCAGCUGUGAGUGAAGUAAUAUUGCUCUCCAGCAGGGACAUUUGAAUUGUAUCUGCCUUUGCUUCCCUGCGCUGCAGUGCAUUACUGAUCAUUGAGCAGCCUGCCAUCUCUAUCCAGCAGCUGAGUUCUUGAUUUAGAGCACACACCCAACAAACAUGCUUUUCAAAUUGUUGCAGUGAUUCACCAGAGCCAAGUGACUUGGCAGAGUAUUCUGUGUAUUUUGGACUAAAUUUAUCAAAGCCUUAUUUCUUCAUCCACCUCGUUAGGGCCUGGUUGGAGGAAUCCCCUUGUCUUGAGAAGCUUGGCUCCGAAACAAUUUUAAGUUACAAAUAUAAGUCUGUAUGUCAUGUUGUCUCAACCUUCCAGCACAAAAACCCAAAAUCUGAUUUUUAUAACGCUUACCUUAAUUACUGCCAACACUUCUUUCUUGUUUUUUUUUUGUUGUUUUUUUUUUUUCUUUUUUAUUCUGCCAGUGAUUAAGCAAGUUACAGAUUUUUGUCCAGAUUCCUUCCAACGGAACAUUCUGCUGCAGUGCUCGAGUCCUGCAAGUGCUCCUGUAGUGCCUGUCACUGAGAUGCAUUAAUGGCAGUGCUAUUCAGGCUGCCAGGCCAUGGAUUUACUUCCCUUCAAACCUCUGCAGGAAUGUUUGCCUGUUUCUUUUCUUAGUGUUCAGCAAUGCUUUGCACUUUCAGGAAACAAUACAGCAGUGCCUAGGUGUACAGGGUGCUUUGUAGGUGGCUCUGUGACAUGGCAUUGUCCCGGCCAGCAAGGCUCUUCCCUGCGUAUAUUUUGAAUUAGACCUACUGAAUUUUUGCUUUGAUGUUUCAAGUCUGCUGGCUUGUUUCAUCCCUGGAGUGAACAAAGAGACUGAUCAGAUUGGGAUCUGCAUAGCAACCAGGGAACAACUUCAUCUGCAAGUCCUUAGUUGUAGGCAGUGGUGUGAAGGUGGAAAGAAUCCAGCCCAGCUCUCAGUCCCCAGGACUGGGACCCAUGGGGAUGGAGAGUGUUGGGGUGAGGAUGGGGGUCAGUGUGAGGCUGUGAGGGUACUGGGGCAAGCACACAGCCAUGGAUGUGCUGAGCAAGUUUUGGCUGCAGCUGUGUAAAUGUGGUAGCUCCUGGGGCACAUUAGUCCCAUUUCCUCCACAGGGUGCUGGGCAGCACGGGGGAGAUGGGGUUUGUGGACAGGGAGAUCUGCUGGGCUCCAAUUGCGUUCAAAUUGUUGUGUUCCUAGGCAACAAACAGGACCCAAGGAAAUGGCCACAAGUUGUACCAGAGAAGGUUUAGGUGAGACACAGGAAAAUUUUUCUCAGAGUGGUCAGGCACUGGAAUGGCUGCCCAGGGAGCUGGAGGAGUCGCCGUCCCUGGCAGUGUUCAAGAGGCAUCUGGAUGAGGAGCUGUGAGAUCUGGGUUAGUGCUUGUGGUAGCUGUGGUAGUGGGAGGACAGUUGGACUGGAUGAUCUUGCAGGUCCAACCUUGUGAUUCUGAUUCUAAAUUGUGUGAGGGCGCAGUUCUGAUGGGAAGAAUUCUUUAUAGCAUUGUUACGAAUAAAGUACACUUCUGCUGACAGAAAAGCAUGACAAA